AUUGAACGCUGGCGGCAGGCUUAACACAUGCAAGUCGAGCGGAGAUGAGGUGCUUGCACCUUAUCUUAGCGGCGGACGGGUGAGUAAUGCUUAGGAAUCUGCCUAUUAGUGGGGGACAACAUUCCGAAAGGAAUGCUAAUACCGCAUACGCCCUACGGGGGAAAGCAGGGGAUCUUCGGACCUUGCGCUAAUAGAUGAGCCUAAGUCGGAUUAGCUAGUUGGUGGGGUAAAGGCCUACCAAGGCGACGAUCUGCAGCGGGUCUGAGAGGAUGAUCCGCCACACUGGGACUGAGACACGGCCCAGACUCCUACGGGAGGCAGCAGUGGGGAAUAUUGGACAAUGGGCGGAAGCCUGAUCCAGCCAUGCCGCGUGUGUGAAGAAGGCCUUUUGGUUGUAAAGCACUUUAAGCGAGGAGGAGGCUCUUAAGGUUAAUACCCUUGAUGAGUGGACGUUACUCGCAGAAUAAGCACCGGCUAACUCUGUGCCAGCAGCCGCCGUAAUAC
rnacentral:rRNA from 1 species